ensembl:lncRNA
CUCGCUCGCUCUUUCCUGCUCUCGCUCUCACUGCACAACUAGGUUAAUUGGGAACCCACCUUCAUAUCGAUUGCAGGCUGGCAUCAGGUAUAAAGCUAAGCUGGUGCUUCUCUUGAUCAUUCCUCCCAUGCAUUCAGCGCAAAGCAGCAGUAAAUGCUGGUACUCUGCGACAGACUGAUCAGCAAGAGUAGAUCAUAUGACAGCCACAGCGCGGCAGUUUGUUUUAUUCCGGCGUUGCGGAGAGAGGUGCUCGUGUGAUCCCCACCAGUGAGAGUAUAGCGCCUCCGGUCCUGGGGGUUUGAUCGCUGCCUUCACCUCCGUGGCAACUCGCACAGCCUUAAUUGAAGAAUCAAGAC